rnacentral:rRNA from 1 species
UAACUUUCAACAACGGAUCUCUUGGCUCUUGCAUCGAUGAAGAACGCAGCGAAAUGCGAUAAGUAAUGUGAAUUGCAGAAUUCGUGAAUCAUUAAAUCUUUGAACGCAAAUUGCACUUCUUGGUAUUCCGAGGAGUAUACUUGCUUGAGGGUUGGUC